GGAUCACCGGCUCCGCCGUUGGCAGGAUUGGAAGAGCCGGAAGGGCAAAUUUGCUUCCUCUUUGUGAACGCAGCAACAAAAACCUGACGAAAUUUGCACGGUUGAGAAACCAUUAUUUUUCAGAGUGCAAACAACGCAUUAAUGAUUCACCUGAGAACCUGGUUAAUGCUAAUCAAAUAACCAUACCAAGUUACAAUGACAAGAGGGCAAAAGCGGCGGCAUGGUCGUGCUGCCUCAUCUAAUGUGGUAUAUCAACCUCUCUUUUUUUCUGCUACUUGUUUUCUCAGUAGGCAACGAUACGUUUUAGUAUACGACAUUUUACUUUGUUAGGAAAUAUAAAUGAAUAGCAACUUCAGAAAUAAAUAUGGUUCUGGAUUAUCCAAAAUAAUAUACUUCAUUAGGCAUUAAUAUGGUUCUGAUUAGGCAAUAAUAUGGUUCUUAACUAGGCAAAAUAGUUUACUUCAUUAGGCAAUGUUUAAUUUAAAAUUUUUGAAUUUAUUUUCAUUGGUUGCCUGAAGUACAAGGUAAUAUACAACCAUCAGCACUGCUAUUUAACACAGUACCUAGUUCCUUAGCCUAACCACAUGGAAGUUAAUGCUGUGUGCAGUCAUCUUGAGAGUACAUAUUCAAAAUUCAUUGGGGUACAAUAUAGGCUAAUUUAGACAGAUAUGUGGUUCUUAAUUAGGCACUAAUAUAGCACUAAAAAGGUAAUAUAGUUUACUUCAUUAGGCAAUGUUAUUGGAUAUGUAAUUUUCAAUAUGUUGUAGAGAGAUAGCAGCAUUCCCAAUAGAUCUAAAAGCAAGUUCUUUAGAACUAUUGUUCAGUUUUUGAAGCAUGAUCUGAACUAUUGUCACAGAAAUAGGAGCUUUCCUACUAGAUCCCAUAUGUUGCUCUUUUCACUAGACAUGUACUUCCUUUUUCUCUGUAUGGAGGGGUAGCAGGCUCUUUGGCAAACAUUCAUGAUAGCAUGGGUAAAAUUUAGUUCACACCGUCAUACUUUUUUUCAAGCGCACUUCCUAAUUUGUAUACAAAAACGAAUAUUUGGUUGUUAGACUGUGCAGCCUUAUUUUUUUUUUCUUUACACAUUAUGCAGCCAGCCUACUCGGCUUUUUUUAUCCAGAUCACUUCCCUGUAAAACUGCAGCUACUAGUGCACAUUUGCGUUACACCUUUUCUAGGUAAUUAUAGAAGUCAUGGUCAUAAGAAAAUAUUCUUAUGCAGUAACAAAAUAGUUUAAUAAUAUUUAAUUGGUAUUUAAGUAGUACUGAGGUAGUAAGUUAAUAAUAUUUGGUAAGCAAUUUUAAAAUGGUCAGACCAAGCAUUUAAGUAGUACUUAGCUAUUCCCUGCUCAAUUGAACAAUUGUAUUUCUUGACUCAAAUAAAGCACUUGUAUUGUAUAUAGAUGCUCUAAUUCUGUGCAUAUGUGCACAAAUGUCCUAAUAGAGCUAUUGUUUCAUCUAUAGGGAAGGAGGCUGCCCAAACGAUUUGUGAAUAUCUAAAGGAUGAACGAUGCUUUACAUUAAUCUAGAAGAAGAUGCAGAUGCGGUAAGACUUGAUUCGAGAUUUUGAAGAACAACAUUUCUUUGCUUUUCCAUACUCAAAGCUCCAGAAAAGAAACAUUUUUGCUACAGGCAAGAUAUGAAUGAGCUCAUACAAUGACGUGAUAGUCAAAACUAGUGACACUUCACUUUAGACGGUGAGCUUUUUGAGAAAUCUUAGUUCUCCUUGGUGACCAACAUCUUAAACUCUUUAUAAUAUGCUCAUAAUAAGUAUAUGGUGACUGAUAUUAUCUUUUUUCACCCAAUAAUAUAGAUCAUUCAUGACAGAAAACACUGAUUUCUUUUGCAGCCCCUAUAAAUCUACAUAUCUUUCCCUCUUUUAAUUAUGUUGUUUGCUUGAUGCUCUUAACUCCAAAAUGCAAUUACCUCCACAAAACAAUGAUGCCUCAGACACUUUUUAUGCAGGAUAGUUAUGUCAGAUCACCAAGCAAUUUGUCUGCUGUGGUCACCAAGCAAUUUGUCCAUUGUGGUGUCGCAUUUUUGUGUUCUUGUUUUAGCAAUCUUUGAUAUGUUGAUGAUUUUUCCUAUUUUGGUUCUACUGAUCAAUUUCUAAAGCUAACUUUCAUUUUUAGUUAAGCAUCUUUUCUAGUUACAACUAAGCAUUUUACUUAUGGCUCUUUAGCAACUUUUAGACUAAUAAUUGCAUUAUGCAAUUAUAGCUGGGACUUUAGCAUUUCUCCAAUAAUAGUUGAGCAAUUCAUAUAUCAUGGUUUAGCAUUUUUACAAUUGAACCAUGGAGGUAAACCUGAUGAAAUAUUACUAGAGGUAUUUGUUAGGACUCCCUCUCCUCGAACUGAACGCCGUUAAGUCUAGCUGCCCUAGUUCCUUUGAGCAAUUUUUUAAAAACUCAUAAGGUUGUUUGUGUAGUUUACUGCAGGUCUGGCAAUCAAUUAGGUUUGUUUUCUGAUUGAGUUCAGCAGCUACUAUUUACUAAUAACAUUUUUUGUGUACCUAUUGAUUGUCCAUUGACUAUUAGGAUACAUAAGCUAGUUCUUACAUGCUAUAAACUAACUGAUCUGCUUCUCUUUUUUCUCAUUGUAUGACAGGUCAUAAAAAAAGAUCAUCAGUUAUGCAAGUACGAUGAUAACGUGCAUUUGUAAUACUAUGUUGGUAGAUCUCUUUUUAGUAACAUACAUGCACAACACCAUGAGUCAUGGAUGUUUAGUUUUGCAUGUGAUGUAGUUUUGGAUUUAGAGAGGCAAAUAUGUUUGUGUAAAUAACCAAUUAUUAUCCAAACUGCUGGGUUUACAAUCAUUUGCAGUUCAAAAUCAUGUGUUGUAUAUCAAGACAUGUACAUUCUGAUA